AUUCAUAACCCUCUGGCCAGAACUGAAACCCAUUUCGUAACCCUAAAAUCGCCACCAUUGAUUCCACCUAGCUAACGCCAACUAUCCGACGACAUAGUAACCACAAUCGAAAUGGUCGUCUGCACCUUCAUCGGCCACUAAGUUGUUCCGUCCUCCGUCCCUAUCGCGAACCAAGAGAUGAAAAUUUCGAAAAUUUUCAGGCGCCACGGGUAUUGUCAUUUCCGGCAUUAACCGACCACGACAUAACUCGUCGAAGCGGUGCUACUCGUGGGCUUAAGAUUGAUGUCGUCAAGGCAAAUAAGAAAGCAGGGGUUGGUGCAAGAAAAGCUCUUAAUGACAUAUCAAACUUGAGAAAUUCUACCAUGCUACAAAUGAAGAAAGAUCUCACUCAGUAUUUUGAAAACUUUGUCUGUCCAACGAAGAAACGAUGUCCAAAUUGUGGCGAGGGCAUCAAGAAGUGUAUGGAGGUCGAGAGAAAAACAAAAAAAUUGGGCGACUGCUUUAUUGCUGCACCAAUUAUCAAACUUCAUUUUUUUUAAUCGGCCAGUCACGUGUAGUGGCUUUGUUCUGUUAUUUUGAACAAUUAUGAUGUUUAAUUUGUGUUGUGACACAAUGUUGGGUCUCAACAGUGUUGUUGUAAUUUUAAUAUCAAAUAGUAAUUCGUAUGUUGUAAUUAAUUGGUAUGUAUUAUUUUGAUGCA